UGCCAGCAGCCGCGGUAAGACGAACCGCCCAAACGUUAUUCGGAAUCACUGGGCUUAAAGGGUGCGUAGGCGGCGCGACAAGUUGGGUGUGAAAUCCCUCGGCUCAACCGAGGAACUGCGCCCAAAACUGCCGUGCUCGAGGGAGAUAGAGGUAAGCGGAACUGAUGGUGGAGCGGUGAAAUGCGUUGAUAUCAUCAGGAACACCGGUGGCGAAAGCGGCUUACUGGGUCUUAACUGACGCUGAGGCACGAAAGCUAGGGUAGCGAGCGGGAUUAGAUA
rnacentral:rRNA from 1 species